UGAUCAUCCAAGAGUCAUUCAACAACACACUUAUUUCUAGUCAAAAGUCUUAGUCUUUGUUUAUGUUUUCUAAGUUUCUAGUUUUCUACAAAACUCUUAAGUCUUUCUUUGACUCAUUGUACUAUAAAUAAGUAAACUCUGCCAUGAAUAAAAUCAGUCUAUGUUUUUGAGUUUAUUUUCGUUUCUUCUCUGAGUGAGAGAGAGAGAGUUCUUAGCUAGUUCAUCGGUUUGAACCGGCUUGUUGAUUUGGUGGUCAGCCAAUCAUCUUUGUGUGUCGUUUGGUGGUUAGCCAACACACUACAUUUGUUCUUAGGUGGUUAGCCUUAGAUCGUGGGUAUAUCAAGAGCCAUUCCGCAUCUCUUGACGAUCCUUUCAAUCCAUCUCAGUUCCAGAAGCGCCAUUUGCUUCUCGGUUCAUAUCCAACACCCAGCUAAAGUGAUCCUCCCUAUCCUAGGGUUCUUCAGUUGGUAUCAGAGCCACUUUGGCUGGUUUGUUUUCUUUCAUCUUUCAUCUUCUCAUCUCUCCACGUUUUUCUUUUCUUAUUUCUUGGAUCCGGGCUGUUCCUUUACUCCCUUGUGAUCGCCUAUUAUAAAAAAAAAAAUCGAUAAAAAAAGAAAAAAAAAAGUUUUGGCUUGAAUCACCUUGUGAAGAGAAAUCCAGGGGGAGUGGUGGAAGAGAAACCCUGCUGGCUGAAGAGAAACCCAGCCUUAGGACAGUUAAGGCGGAUCCAUU
rnacentral:lncRNA from 1 species